rnacentral:rRNA from 1 species
UCCUACGGGGCGCAGCAGUGGGGAAUAUUGCACAAUGGGGGGAACCCUGAUGCAGCGACGCCGCGUGAGUGAAGAAGUAUCUCGGUACGUAAAGCUCUAUCAGCAGGGAAGAAAAUGACGGUACCUGACUAAGAAGCCCCGGCUAACUACGUGCCAGCAGCCGCGGUAAUACGUAGGGGGCAAGCGUUAUCCGGAUUUACUGGGUGUAAAGGGGGCGCAGACGGCAAUGCAAGCCAGGAGUGAAAGCCCGGGGCCAACCCCCGGG